UACCUGUGCUCCCAAGAUGUUUGCUAAUGGCGUGGAAAGACACGGGUAUUGAUCCAAUAUUGGUGACUCUGACAGCGUGACUGACGACUCUGCCAGGAAUGACAAACCCAAAAUCUAGAAGAUACUCUGGGAGCUGGAACCUGAGGACAGAUUGAAACAGAACCAGAAGAAUAAAACACUGAACACAAGCAAGCAAGGCUGGACCACCGACGUAUUUUGGAGGGAGGCUCCACUUAUUUGCGCUCCCACCAAAUGCAGCAGGAAAACGGGGCGGUUAGAGGCAAAACUGCUCCUAAUAAAGGAGCGUUGUUCCAGAAAAAUAAACGUAGGGGGACAAAAGACUCCAGCAAGCUAUCGGCCACAGCAAGAGCAUUUUCUCUGACCAGCAAUCUAUCAACUUCCAUCUGAAGCAGCUCUUCAUACUAGAAACAAAAGAGGGAAAAGAAGAGGGCAGAGG